AGUGUGUGUGGGGGGGAGGUGGCAGGAAGAGGACAGAAAUAAAAACUCACACUACUUUCUUUCUUCCCUUCUGCUGUCCCUCCCUGAGCUGGACUCAGAUGCCAAAGAGAGAUGCCAAGGGGCCGGCUUUUCUGUCCUUUUUUGUCUUGCUUCCUCCGGCCUUGGCUCCCCAGCCUGGCCCCCCACCUUGUUGGGCUCAGGCUUCAGAAAGAGAGAGACAGGGGUAGGAGGCAAUGCUGUGGGAACGGAAGCAGAGGAGAGGGAGGCUGCCAUCUUAGGCAGCUGGUGCCCCUAAGAUGGCCACCUCUGACAGGUGGAUGGACAUGGCGGGGGGACGGGGUGAGGCCACAGGAAGCCCUUGGUGGCCGACCGGAACGUGGUCAAGUCUUCCUGCUUGUGGAAUUGGGAAGAGAGGACGGGAGAGAGGGAAGGUGGGAGGGAUGGGGCAUGGCUGCCCCAGAGGAGUGGGAGCCUGGCAUAGGAGCAGGGCUGGUAGAGAGGGCUCCCAUUUCCUUCCAGACCCCUGGUGAGCGCCGGUGGUCAGAGGACCUGGCCGAGGAUCUGAUGUACAAAUCCUGGAGGGGUCAGAACUGGGCAUCUCAGCAGGAGGAAGGAGAGGGAAAUUCCAUGAUCCCACAUUCCUUUCUCGGGAAGUCCUGGCCCGUGUCUAACCCUGGUCUGUACUGAAGCCCCGUUCUUCGGCCUGUGGCUUGACGUGCUACUUUGAGAGACCAAAAAGAAGGACCUAUUUCACCCAGUUGGCGUAGGCUCCCUCUGAGAAGCCCUCCUGGAUUGACCCAGGGAUGACGCUAAACUCUAGCAAUUGACUGGCUGUUCCAGGAAGCCUCUGAGCAGGAUGGAAGUGGCCAGGCCUGGCUCCAGCCUGGGCUGCCCAUUCAUCCAGAACCACUGGGGAGAGGACUUCUUUCCACCCAUGCUCUGUGUCUGUAGCUGUCCACCUGGCCCAUCCCGGUCCCUCCUCUGUCGUCUGAGCUGACAGUCCUCUGAGAUGGAGGUCCCAUCUCGUGUCUAAUAAAGACUCCUGAACGUUGAACCA
rnacentral:lncRNA from 1 species